GAGUACGUGAAACUGUGUGGUGGUAAACGGAGGGGUUCUCGAAGUUUCCGUGGGGAACUCAACCUUGGCUGGCUUCGGCCUUGUCGUUCUUGAUCAGCAAUGACUCGACGGCUGGUCCCGUUGUCCGCCCGGGUGCACUUUCCCUGCGGUUUACCACAGGAACUGUUUGGACUGGACCAAAGGGCUCGGGUGAAGUUGUCAGUUCUGCUGGCAGCCCCGUUUUCCUGGCUCCGGACCAGACAGGUACUUGAGAGGACUCGUAUAGCGAGCAAUGCUCUGUUGCGGUUCUCAUCUCUCUGUGGAGUAGGUCGGUGGCCCCUCCGACCCGUCUUGAAACACGGAC
rnacentral:rRNA from 1 species